rnacentral:rRNA from 1 species
GACGUAGGGUGCGAGCGUUGUCCGGAAUUAUUGGGCGUAAAGAGCUCGUAGGCGGUCUGUUGCGUCGGCUGUGAAAACCCGGGGCUCAACUCCGGGCCUGCAGCCGAUACGGGCAGACUAGAGUUCGGCAGGGGAGACUGGAAUUCCUGGUGUAGCGGUGAAAUGCGCAGAUAUCAGGAGGAACACCGGUGGCGAAGGCGGGUCUCUGGGCCGAUACUGACGCUGAGGAGCGAAAGCGUGGGGAGCGAACAGG